rnacentral:rRNA from 1 species
AACGAACGCUGGCGGCAGGCUUAACACAUGCAAGUCGAACGCAUCGCAAGAUGAGUGGCAGACGGGUGAGUAACGCGUGGGAACAUACCCUUUUCUACGGAAUAGCUCUGGGAAACUGGAAUUAAUACCGUAUACGCCCUACGGGGGAAAGAUUUAUCGGGGAAGGAUUGGCCCGCGUUGGAUUAGCUAGUUGGUGGGGUAGAGGCCUACCAAGGCGACGAUCCAUAGCUGGUCUGAGAGGAUGAUCAGCCACAUUGGGACUGAGACACGGCCCACACUCCGACGGGAGGCAGCAGUGGGGGAUAUUGGACAAUGGGCGCAAGCCUGAUCCAGCCAUGCCGCGUGAGUUAUGAAGGCCUUAGGUUUGUAAAGCUCUUUAACCGAUGAAGAUAAUGACGGUAGUCGGAGAAGAAGCCCCGGCUAACUUCGUGCCAGCCGCCGCAGUAACAC